GACUGAGGGAGUAGCUCCCAGAAAGUCACUGAGCUCUUCUGUUUCUUGGUAUCUGUGUUUCUGGAGGUGUGGAUGUGUUUAUCACACACACAGGCAAGACUUCCUCAGCAUCAAAGCAUACCAAAUCUACACCCAGUAAAAGGUUUGGAUGAAGACAGACAAAAAUGUGAAUGGACUACAAUGGAAGAUGCACAGACAUAACGUUAAUCAGGUACAGUAAGCUUGAGGUGAGUCAAUCGUGGGCAGUGGUGUCCAAAAAUGCCAUGCCUUCGCAGGCAGCAUAAAUGAAUGACAGAAUCUCCAGUUAGGGAGGGAAUGGCCACAUGGCACUCCAGAGCUCAG